rnacentral:rRNA from 1 species
UACGUAGGGGGCAAGCGUUGUCCGGAAUCAUUGGGCGUAAAGAGCGUGUAGGCGGUUCGGUAAGUCGGCUGUGAAAGUCCAGGGCUCAACCCUGGGAUGCCGGUCGAUACUGCCGGACUAGAGUUCGGAAGAGGCGAGUGGAAUUCCCGGUGUAGCGGUGAAAUGCGCAGAUAUCGGGAGGAACACCUAUGGCGAAGGCAGCUCGCUGGGACGUUACUGACGCUGAGACGCGAAAAGCGUGGGGGAGCAAAACAGG